UGGGCGGGACGGGGUGAGUAAUGUCUGGGAAACUGCCCGAUGGAGGGGGAUAACUACUGGAAACGGUAGCUAAUACCGCAUAACGUCGCAAGACCAAGAGGGGACCUUCGGGCCUCUUGCCAUCGGAUGUGCCCAGAUGGGAUUAGCUAGUAGGUGGGGUAACGGCUCACCUAGGCGACGAUCCCUAGCUGGUCUGAGAGGAUGACCAGCCACACUGGAACUGAGACACGGUCCAG
rnacentral:rRNA from 1 species